rnacentral:rRNA from 1 species
GGCCUAACACAUGCAAGUCGAGCGGUAAGGCCCUUCGGGGUACACGAGCGGCGAACGGGUGAGUAACACGUGAGCAAUCUGCCCUUCACUUUGGGAUAACUUCCGGAAACGGAAGCUAAUACCGAAUACGACCACUUCACGCAUGUGAUGGUGGUGGAAAGUUCCGGCGGUGAAGGAUGAGCUCGCGGCCUAUCAGCUUGUUGGUGAGGUAAUGGCUCACCAAGGCUUCGACGGGUAGCCGGCCUGAGAGGGUGACCGGCCACACUGGGACUGAGACACGGCCCAGACUCCUACGGGAGGCAGCAGUGGGGAAUAUUGGACAAUGGGCGAAAGCCUGAUCCAGCAACGCCGCGUGAGGGAUGACUGCCUUCGGGUUGUAAACCUCUUUCAGCGGGGACGAAGCGAAAGUGACGGUACCCGCAGAAGAAGCACCGGCCAACUACGUGCCAGCAGCCGCGGUAAUACGUAGGGUGCGAGCGUUGUCCGGAAUUAUUGGGCGUAAAGGGCUCGUAGGCGGUUUGUCACGUCGGGAGUGAAAACUCAGGGCUCAACCCUGAGCCUGCUUCCGAUACGGGCAGACUAGAGGUAUGCAGGGGAGAACGGAAUGCCUGGUGUAGCGGUGAAAUGCGCAGAUAUCAGGAGGAACACCGGUGGCGAAGGCGGUUCUCUGGGCAUUACCUGACGCUGAGGAGCGAAAGUGUGGGGAGCGAACAGGAUUAGAUACCCUGGUAGUCCACACCGUANACGUUGGGCGCUAGGUGUGGGACUCAUUCCACGAGUUCCGUGCCGCAGCUAACGCAUUAAGCGCCCCGCCUGGGGAGUACGGCCGCAAGGCUAAAACUCNAAGGAAUUGACGGGGGCCCGCACAAGCGGCGGAGCAUGCGGAUUUAUUCGAUGCAACGCGAAGAACCUUACCUAGGUUUGACAUAUGUG